UCAAGAAACAUUGAUCAUCCAUUUUCGUUGUCAUCAUCAAUUUAAUAAAUAAAAAAAUUAACACUGUACCUGUGAAUGGUGUGUUUAUUAUAUUUGAAUGUAAAUCAAUCAAAUAAAUGGAUGUGAAAACAUUCUCUUGUUGAAUAUCGUGCAAUUUUUUUUUGUUUUGUUUAUUUUUUGUCAAUAAUAUCAUCAAUUAUAUUUACAAGACCAAUAUCAAUCUAACUGCUAACGAUAUUGAUCAGCCAUCAUUUUCCCAUUAUAUUUUUUGCUUAUUGAUUUCUUCAUCAACCAGCAAAAAAAAAAAGAUUUCUUCAUUGAUCAUUUUUUCAAGUGAAUUGAUAAUUAUGAAUUAUUAUUUAC